rnacentral:rRNA from 1 species
GACGAACGCUGGCGGCGUGCUUAACACAUGCAAGUCGAACGGGCCUUGUCCCCUUUUUUUUGGGGGUGGGGUUAGUGGCGAACGGGUGAGUAACACGUGAGUAACCUGCCCCUCACUUCUGGAUAACCGCUUGAAAGGGUGGCUAAUACGGGGUGUUCUGGCCUGCUCGCAUGGGUGGGUUUGGAAAGAUUCGACCGGUUUUGGUUGUUUUGGUGGGGGAUGGGCUCGCGGCCUAUCAGCUUGUUGGUGGGGUGAUGGCCUGCCAAGGCUUUGACGGGUAGCCGGCCUGAGAGGGUGGGCGGUCACACUGGGACUGAGACACGGCCCAGACUCCUACGGGAGGCAGCAGUGGGGAAUAUUGCACAAUGGGCGCAAGCCUGAUGCAGCGACGCCGCGUGAGGGAUGGAGGCCGUCGGGUUGUGAACCUCUUUCGCCAGUGAAGAAGGUCCUGCUCUUUGUGGUGGGGUUGACGGUAGCUGGGUUAAUGAAGCGCCGGCUAACUACGUG